GUGUCCGUGUGCGUGCGUAUGUGUGUGUGUGUGUGUGUGUGUGUGCGCGCGCUCGUGCCGCACACGGGCGCGUGUGUGUGUGCGCGCGUGCGUGCGUGCGCAAUUGCCCCGCAGCGCUCCACACAGUGUGCGUCCAAGGGGAAACGCUGGGAUCUGUUAUGUUUGGUAUCUGCGCAGCUCCGCAGAUGAGCGCGGUUUCAUUGCGCAGCAUUGGGCUGCUGACACCCCCCCCCCCUCCUCCUUAAUGACAACACGACGCCCGUGCCCGUUUCGCGUCUCCCUCUUUAUGACCGCUGCAGCUGGUCGUUCGGAAUCAAUUUGGGUGAAUUCUGGCAUCACGCGGCGCCACAUCACUCCAGAGCCACGCUGUCCCUGCGUUGAGCGCUUUAAUCAUUACCGCAGUCUCAGCAAAGACUGACAGGGCUGUUAGAGGACGCAAACGUCAUCUGCCCACCAAGUGUUCGGCGUGUGUGAUGUCACCGUAGAAGGGGAUAUGUGACUUCUGAUGCCCUUAUGCCGUCUGUCACGAAUCGUUGUGUUUUAAUGACUAUAGGUCUGGUUUCCCUCAUGCCUGAAGAUGGCAGUAAUUGGAUGUACGAUUUUUUUCUGACUUCUAGCGCCCUUAUAAGGAGCUGAAGCUUACUGCUUCCAUAGGCUAAAUUAAGAUCUGCUUAUCUGAUAUCAUCAUCAACAACAACAAGAUGCCGCUGCAGUUGAGAUCCUCUUGAAGUUAAGUCACUGCUACAUCUUUAACACGUCUGACUAUGUACAGUAGGCGUGUUCUCCAUAAUUUGUUUACACUCAACAGUAAGUCAACAGUACUUACUGUAUAGUGGACUGCUAGGGUUUAGUGAUUUAUCAGCAUCUUGAGGACACAAUGCGUUUGAAGAGUUUAAAGCUGCUGCAUCAUGUGGUUGCUAUGUCGACAGUAAGGACGUUGACGCUUAUAGAUAUAUGCUUUGGCAACGCAGCAAUGAAAUGCCUCAUUUGGACACUUCUGCCCCUUAUUAUGCGGUGGACUGUGUGGUUUGGGCACAGGUGUGUCUGCAUGAGAGCGCACACAGCUCUCUGUUGACGGAGGCAGGGACACCCACUGGGAAAUCACCCAUGAAAUAGACUUGGAGAAUGGCUCAACAAGUGGCGGCACCAGAAAAUGGGGACUGCAGGAGGACGAGAUAGCAGAGGUGCUGAGUAGAACGAUCGGAGCGAGGCAGAUCAACUGGAGCAAAAAAUCGGACAAAAAAAAAGACUAGAGCCGGGAUAAAGAUGAAAAAUACUGACAAGAUGGCGCUGCCAUGUUGCUUGCAACAAUAACUCUGCUGCUGUUGCUGUAUCUAUAAAGCUGUCAUUGAUCUCAAGCCAAACCAUUUGCACAGUAAAUUAACACAGUGUACGUUUAGCAACUGAUCUUGUUUCUCUACAAACUUCUAGGAAUUACUUUUCUUGGCCGCCCAGAUGUUCAGCUAAACCUGAAUCCUUCCAGUAGAGUGGAAAAUAGUUUUAUUUGAACUGUUGUGGACUGUUUCUAAUCAUCUGACCCACCUGUCCUCGUAAAGGUCACGGUUGGUGCUGCAGCCGUCCCACACCCCGGACAUCAGUUGCUAAACUCACUCAGAUCCAGGACAGUGUGUUUGUCUGUUUAUAGUUACCAACCCCAUGAGAGGUGCCCUGCUGUUGCAUGUCUGUAGAAUUUCCAUCACUAAUAGACUGCUCACAUGCAAAUGAGACUGAGAGUCACGAUAAGGUUGUUUUUAGAUGGGUUCUUGUUGUCUGACCUGCAACCUGUGAGGAGAAUGCCCUACAAUUCCGCAUGACCUGUUUAAAGGAUCUACUUGACAUCAGUUACAGUAUCAGCCUUUGUUACGUCAUAAUCCUCAAAAUUCCAGUCUCUCCUUCCCCCCACUACACCAGUCUCCCCCACAGCUCCUCCACUUUGCUUACACCUUCCACUGUCAACUCUCCGCCUCCCUGUCCCUCUCCCAUGAGGGGAGAGAAAUUAAAGGAUUGUAGUGGAAAGGCUGUGCUGUUGUCAUUAGAGAUUGCACAAAUAGUGUACCGUGUGCAUGUUCCUGUGUGUUGGUUGCUCUUAAGGGGACCUGAGAGGCCGUCCUUAUCCUUGUCAGUCCUAUAUAAUUGCAUAAAAGGUUAAAAAAUAGAGGAACCGACUCUUUGUUUUUGGGGCAUUACUACCUACAUGAAUGGGAUAAUAAAGCAUGAGUAUUCAUAUAUAUGGCAUAUGUUUGACUU